GUGAAUCAUCAAAUCUUUGAACGCAAAUUGCACUCUCUUCGGAGAGUAUGCCUGUUUGAGGGUCAGUAUUAAUAAAAAUCGGUGUGUUGCUUCUUUGUGACGCCCCGGAGUUUGGGUCAUCUUAAUAUCCUUUAGGUUUUAAGAGGCUUAAAAUUGACUUUUUUUCGGCUUUUUGAUUGACCUAAAUUUUUUUUUUUAUUCGUUUUUCUUAAUUCUCAAAAUCCUUUUUGAUUCCACCAUU
rnacentral:misc_RNA from 1 species